rnacentral:tRNA from 1 species
GCCCCAAUAGCUCAGGUGGAUAGAGCACAGGUUUCCUAAACCUGGUGUCGCAGGUUCGAGUCCUGCUUGGGGCG